UCUGUGAUGACCUGGAUGCCUUGCCACAUGUGUUGGGGGUCAGACUUGUGGUUGUGCUUGGCCUUUUUGAUGCCCCUUUUCAGGUUAGCCCUGGGUGAGCUAUAGGCUUGAGCAUCAUCUCACUGUCUGACCUCACUGUUCAUCCAUGGCUUCUGAUUAGGGAAUGUGGUAAUCCGUUUGAGGGUGCCUCUCCAGUCAGUGUUUUCAAAACGCUGCUGAAGUGCCGAUUCAGCUCCCUCUGGCACAUCUAAAAAUGUGUAGUGGUUUCUUAAUUUUUUCUAGAGCUGUACACACACACACACACACACACACA